GACGAACGCUGGCGGCGUGCUUAACACAUGCAAGUCGAGCGGAGCGGCGAACGGGUGAGUAAAGCGUGAGUAACUGCCCCCCUAUCUGGGAUAAAAGUUGGAAACGGAUGCUAAUACCGGAUAGUGGGGGAUGACACGCGUCCUAUCAGCUGGUUGGUGGGGGAGUGGCCUACCAAGGCGACGACGGGUAGCCGGCCUGAGAGGGCGCCAGGCCACCUUGGGCUGAGAUACGGCCCAAGCUCAUACGGGAGGCAGCAGUGUGGAAUAUUGCACAAUGGGGGAAACUCUGAUGCAGCAACGCGCGUGCGAGAUGACGGCCUUCGGGUUGUAAACGGCUUUCAGCCAUGACGCGGUAGUGGCAGAAGAAGCACCGGCUAACUACGUGCCAGCAGCCGCGGUAAUUC
rnacentral:rRNA from 1 species